rnacentral:lncRNA from 1 species
UUAAAUGAGAAACAGGCAGAUGUAUAUUAGGCACCCUAAGCUCUCCAUUUAUGUGAACGUUUUUUUUUUUUAGUACUGGGGAUCAAACUCAGGACCUUGCGGUUGUGAGGCAGGCACCCGAACCACUGAGCUAAAUCCCCAGCCCUAUGUGAACUAUUUUGCUGCUUCGAAAGGCCCAUGACUGAACAGACUUCAAACAGGUUACAAGUGGUGCCCAGCAAGUCAUGAAGAUCCUUGAAGAGAAGCCCACACCGUCAGCACAGGAAUUGCUCUUCAGAAGAAUCCUGUGAUGGAGAAAAGACUAGCAGGAUAAGGAAAGGAAAGAGCCAAGUGAAGAUGUGGUCUAAGGUACAGUCUGGCUUUGACCUGAUCCACGCGGAGGCCUCUGAGGAAUAAAGGGCUCCAGGACGUUGGCCCUUUGCUAAAGGCAUAUGGACAGAUAUUUCUCAAUCUCC